rnacentral:tRNA from 1 species
GGUUUGGUGGUUCAGUGGUAGAACUUUUGCCUUCCAUGCAGAAGACCAGGUUCUAUUUCUGGCCAAUGCA